rnacentral:rRNA from 1 species
UAACGCGAAGAACCUUACCAGGUCUUGACAUCUUCUGCUAACCUAAGAGAUUAGGCGUUCCCUUCGGGGACGGAAUGACAGGUGGUGCAUGGUUGUCGUCAGCUCGUGUCGUGAGAUGUUGGGUUAAGUCCCGCAACGAGCGCAACCCUUAUUGUCAGUUGCCAGCAUUUAGUUGGGCACUCUGGCGAGACUGCCGGUGACAAACCGGAGGAAGGUGGGGAUGACGUCAAAUCAUCAUGCCCCUUAUGACCUGGGCUACACACGUGCUACAAUGGACGGUACAACGAGUCGCGAAACCGCGAGGUCAAGCUAAUCUCUUAAAGCCGUUCUCAGUUCGGAUUGUAGGCUGCAACUCGCCUACAUGAAGUUGGAAUCGCUAGUAAACGUGGAUCAGC